UGAAUAUGGGGGGACCAUCCUCCAAGGCUAAAUACUCCUGACUGACCGAUAGUGAACCAGUACCGUGAGGGAAAGGCGAAAAGAACCCCGGCGAGGGGAGUGAAAAAGAACCUGAAACCGUGUACGUACAAGCAGUGGGAGCACGCUUAGGCGUGUGACUGCGUACCUUUUGUAUAAUGGGUCAGCGACUUAUAUUCUGUAGCAAGGUUAACCGAAUAGGGGAGCCGAAGGGAAACCGAGUCUUAACUGGGCGUUAAGUUGCAGGGUAUAGACCCGAAACCCGGUGAUCUAGCCAUGGGCAGGUUGAAGGUUGGGUAACACUAACUGGAGGACCGAACCGACUAAUGUUGAAAAAUUAGCGGAUGACUUGUGGCUGGGGGUGAAAGGCCAAUCAAACCGGGAGAUAGCUGGUUCUCCCCGAAAGCUAUUUAGGUAGCGCCUCGUGAAUUCAUCUCCGGGGGUAGAGCACUGUUUCGGCAAGGGGGUCAUCCCGACUUACCAACCCGAUGCAAACUGCGAAUACCGGAGAAUGUUAUCACGGGAGACACACGGCGGGUGCUAACGUCCGUCGUGAAGAGGGAAACAACCCAGACCGCCAGCUAAGGUCCCAAAGUCAUGGUUAAGUGGGAAACGAUGUGGGAAGGCCCAGACAGCCAGGAUGUUGGCUUAGAAGCAGCCAUCAUUUAAAGAAAGCGUAAUAGCUCACUGGUCGAGUCGGCCUGCGCGGAAGAUGUAACGGGGCUAAACCAUG
rnacentral:rRNA from 1 species